rnacentral:rRNA from 3 species
GCCCACUGAAAUAUUUUAAGGGCCGCAGUAUCCUAACUGUGCUAAGGUAGCGUAAUCAUUUGUCAUUUAAUUAAUGACUCGUAUGAAGGGCUUAACGAGAGGGCAGCUAUCUAUUAUUUAACAAAUGAAAUUAACUUAUUAGUUAAAAGGCUAAUAUAAUCUAGAAAGACGAGAAGACCCUAAAGAGCUUAGCAAAAAAUUUUUAAUAGUAGAAACUAACUUUUAGUUAUUAAAUUUUUAUGCUUAAUUGGGGUGAUUAAAAGAUAAACAAAACUCUUUUUAAAUAACUACUUUAUAUAAGAUAAAAUGAUCCGGCCUGCCGAUUAUAAGAAAAAGUUACCUUAGGGAUAACAGCGUAAUGCUUAUUAAGAGCCCAUAUCGACAUAAGUGUUUGCGACCUCGAUGUUGGACUAAAAUUAAAUCAUGGUGCAGAAGCCAUGUUUUUAGGUCUGUUCGACCUUUGAUUUUUUACACGAUCUGAGUUCAGACCGGCGAGAGCCAGGUUG